AGAAUGUGUGAAGCACGGGCCAUCUGUAGGAGGAAAUUCACAGUAGCUUUUGUUGCUUGAUGGAUAAUGAUUAUGAUACAUCUGGAUUUUGGGUUCCUGGUGCGUUGGCGCCAGGUUUGCAAGUUUCGGAGUCAAGUCUCGGACGUGGGGGCGACGGACGCGGCAGCGCUGCUUCGUUACAUUCAUCGGAAAGCAUGAGUCAGCAGCGAAUGCGACUGCCUGUCUAUAAGCAUAGUACGCGCGCAGCGAAGCCCAUAUCCGAAUUUGGAGUGUGACGGGGCGAGAGUUGUUGUACUUGGUUGAAAAUUUUCCUGUGGUAGUUGUGCAUGGACCGACGAGUUGCGGCAAAUCGACGCAGAUUCCGCAGUACCUCUUUGAGAGUGGAUGGUGUCGAUCGCUACAGGUUUGUUGCACACAGCCUCGCCGUGUUGCGGCAUCGAAUGUUUCGCUUCGUGUAGCUGCAGAAAUGAAUUGUUUGGUUGGACAAGAGGUAGGGUAUUGCAUUCGCUUUGAGGACGUGACAUCGGCCAAGACUAAAAUCAAGUAUGUUACGGAUGGAAUAUUGAUCAAUGAAAUUAUGCAAGAUCCUUUGUUAUCGAAGUACUCGGUUGUGAUGUUGGAUGAAGUUCAUGAGCGUAGCGUCAGUACAGAUUUACUCCUCGGACUUUUUAGGAAAAUUCAAAAUCAAAGAAAAGACUUGCGGCUUAUCAUCGCGUCGGCUACAAUCGACCUGGAAGAAAUUGUUUGUUUUUUUAGUCGGAAGACGACGAGGGGCGUUCAGGCGGUGCACGCUCGAGCGGAGAGUCUCCCCGCGAAGGAUAGCGUAGCCAACUGGUUGAACCCGGAAAUGCCUGACGUUUUGGCAAUUUUGUCAAUAGAAAACCGACCAUUUCCGGUAGAGGUCUUUUAUACAGUACAGCCCGUUCCAGACUAUUUGGAUGCAUGUUACCAACUGACUUUGGCGAUCCACAGCAACGAGCCGAUAGACGCUCCGGCGCGCCACAUUUUGAUUUUUCUGACUGGACAAGAAGAAAUUGAGUGCUUGAUCGGACGCUUUCGAGACCGGUCGAUGGUGCCAUCUUCACUGCAGGUGCUACCCAUGUAUGCUGGUCUGACUUUGGAGGAGCAGUCGGAGGCAUUGCAGAGGGCUCCUCUGGGCAAGAGAAAGGUAAUUUUGUCCACGAACAUAUGUGAGACAAGUAUUACAAUUGACGACCUUGGUUUUGUGAUCGAUUGCGGCUUUGAAAAUAAUCGAGUUUGUCAAUUGAUGACACAUCAGGAUCUACUCGUGGCUCAGCCGAUUUCCCAGUCAUCAGCUAGACAAAGAGCUGGGAGAGUGGGCAGAACUGCUCCCGGAAAGUGUUUUCGACUGUACACCGAGGAGACGUUUAACCAGCUUCGAGCUAGGCGGAGACCUGAAAUUCAGCGGUGCGAACUUUCAUCGGUUGUGCUUCAGCUCAAAGCGCUCGGAAUUGACAGAAUAAGGAAUUUUGACUUUUUGUCUCCUCUUCCUGUGCCAAGGGUUCGCGUUGCGUUGGAGCUGCUACACGCUCUUGGUGCACUGAAUGACGAGGCUAAGUUGACGACACCUUUAGGAUUGCGCAUGGCGGAGGUUCCGCUGGAUGCGAAGAUGGCAAAAAUUUUGAUCAAUUCCGUUCAAUACGGAUGCGCAGAGACUAUUUUGUCCGUUUUGUCUAUGGUGUCUGUUUCCACUUUUGCCGAUAGCGUUUUUUUGGGUUUGAGGGGUGGUGGAAAAGAUAAACACGCUCGAGCGGAGACAGAAAGACGCAGAUUCGCUGUCUACGAGGGAGACCACAUCACUCUCUGCAAUGUCUACAACGCCUACCUCGAAAAUGGCCAAGAUGCACGUUGGUGUCAGAAUUGCCUUUUGAAUGUGCGUCUACUUCGCAAAGCCUCUCAGGUGAGGAGGCGACUUCAUAACCUUUUAUGUAACUUGGGUCUGCUAGAUCGUCGUCAAGCGGCCUUCGAAGAGCAUAAGAACACGGACGCCCGCAUUAUUCAGAAAUGCCUGCUAUCUGGGUAUUUUAUGAAUGCAGCCAAGCUGCAGCCGGACGGUAGCUAUAGGACCGUACAAGGCCAUGCUGAGCUGCAUAUUCAUCCGAGUAGCAUUCUCGCUCGGCAUCCACCCGACUGGCUGGUUUUCAGCAAAGUCAUUCACACUGGGAAGGCCUAUAUGCGCGAAGUGACCAAGAUCCAUCCACAAGAUCUGACCGAAGUCGCUCCGCACUACUUCCAGUUCAGACAAUCGAUGUCUUCGCUAGCGACGGUACAGCCUUGAGAACGCACUCGGCACCGUGAAAAAGACCGGAGAGGGCCGUCAGCGACGAAGCGCGUGAGAGGCGGCUUUUUCGUACACGAACUUUCGUUUGUACAGCUCACUCCCAAACGUAUCGAGAGCCGGUCUUCCCUGCCUGAAACGGAUCGAUACACAGCAUGCAACCGUUCCUCAGACCGGAGUGUGGGGCGCUUUCAAGAGUGGUUGCCAUACCUCGGGAUGUCGUUUUUUGUGUCGAAAACGGUCCUUUUGACAGGCAAACGCAAAAAUUUCGAGAAACGCAAUGUCAGAGCGGCCCCGCAGAGCUCUCAAACCAAGACAAAACACCGAGCGACAGUCAUGUAACUUCGGCGAGAAUUCCACAACUGCUUAGGACCAAACGCGCGGUCAUCCGUUCGGAGAGAGGCAGCAGAGAGCGAUUGCAUUCGACCGCUGUACGAUUGUUGUUGAAGCACGCGUGCGCCCGUCUCGGCGCGCGAGACGAAUGCGCCAUCGUCGCAUUAUAAGGCCAAACGACGCCACCAAUUGCAGCGUCUUGGAUUUUCGAGAAAACACAAUUCAAAAAAAUAGAUCCGUGGUAGCGUUGUGUCGCGACGGUUUUUUUUGUGUUA